rnacentral:snoRNA from 1 species
GGGAUAUGAUGAGUGGUAAAAGCUCGGUUUUUUAUUCCGAGAGGGGUGCCUGCCCCAAAUAAGCCUGUUACGACAACAUGGCGCUCACAAUUUGUACCAUCUGAUCCC